rnacentral:lncRNA from 1 species
GGGAGAGGAAGCUCACAGUGCUACGCGCCUGCGAGCUCGCGCACAUACACAUAUACAUACAUACACACAUACAUACAUAUGCACACACACGUACACGCAGAAUCACACACACUCUCCUGGGACAUCAAAGCAUCAGCUCUCUGGACCUGGGAGCUCCAAGAUAGUCUAUCCGCAUCUAGGUGAGAGGGCACCUCGCCUGGGGACAGAUUACAAAAGCGUCCCGCCAGAGGAAUGCUUCAGGUAGAGCUAGGGGUGGAUUGCAAGAAGAGUACCUUCUUUCAAUCGCUUUUGCUAAACACACACCCUCACACGCAAAAACACGCCCUCCAAGGUGGAGUGAAACGGGGUGCGGGGGUGGGGACGGCGGUGGAAGGAAGAAGACUUUUAUUACUCAAUCUGGAAAGUGCAAAUACACACAUGAACCUGUUAGCCGAUGGGCCCACUCUGCAUGGGUGGUGGACGACGACCCUGGCUCAGGAUUCUGCAGGAAACAAGUGAUGAUAGAGGUGUCAUUAGGAACUUUAUGGAUAUUUAUGCGCCUCCCUUUCAUUGCCAUUUGGAAACUCCUCACGCAGAAGUCAAGGAAACUCCAAUCCCACUUAAACUUCAUUGCGGAGAAACAGAGUUCUGAAAAAAAAGCAGCUACCAUGGACCUCUCUUUUAAACGCAAGUACACCCACACACAUUCGGAUACCAAGGAAGGAAGGAAAGAAAGAAAGGAAAGAAAAGGGAGGGGAGGAAGGAAGAGCAAAGUCCUCUCUAAAAGUCUCAAUUAUAUAUAUAGCCUCUGAUUGUCACCUCUCCUCCGUCCCACCAUUUUUCGUACUUGUAUUGGGUGGCAGGGACACUUUUCAAGAGUUCUGUGUUCGAUUGUUCACUCUGAGUACCUCUCCACCAUCCUCCAGUCGUUGCCCUCAUUGGGAGAGAUGCUUGCUACUCUGCUAGUACCACGCCUUGGUUCCGGUCUUUACUGUUGGCUGGUAGGUCGGGAGGCACCUCUAGCAUGAGACAGUGUCUGGAAGCCAGGAUUUCCCUCAUCUAUAUGCGCCGGUCCCCAGCUCCCUGGUCGCCAGGGUUUCUCUCCAGUUGAAUUCCGUGUUCCUUCAGGUUGAACAGUAGCUUCAGCGGUUUUUCACGCUCAGAAAUGAUGAGGCCCAAUUCCAAUCUUCCCUCCCGCCGGAAGUAAGAAGGGGAAUUCUGAGUUGCUUGUCGCCUGACAGCUUAAAAUAGCAACGAAAACAGCCAGCAUCUUUGCUUAAAAACCCAAGGUUCCCGCCAGUGUUUACCAUACUUCCUCUAGAGUUUAAGAAGUUAAGAACUUCCGAGAUCUUGAAUUUCCUCUUUGCAGCACAGCGAACGGGGUCGGGUAUAAAAAUGCUCCAAGGAGCAAGUAAUUACGAACGUUUAUUGACACUACAAGUGGCCCACAGGGAGCCUUUCGAGUUUAUUGAUGUCUAGGCAAAUCCAGCCUGCAUUAAUGCAUUUCUGUUAGAUUGACUUCUGUUAGACUCACUUUUCUUCUGGCAAAAACUGCCAGAAUAAAACAGCUUCUUAUUUAAGUUAAAA